rnacentral:rRNA from 1 species
CAGCCGCCGCGGGAAUACGUAGGGUGCAAGCGUUAAUCGGAAUUACUGGGCGUAAAGCGUGCGCAGGCGGUUUGUUAAGACAGAUGUGAAAUCCCCGGGCUUAACCUGGGAACUGCAUUUGUGACUGGCAAGCUAGAGUCUGGCAGAGGGGGGUGGAAUUCCGCGUGUAGCAGUGAAAUGCGUAGAUAUGCGGAGGAACACCGAUGGCGAAGGCAGCCCCCUGGGCCAACACUGACGCUCAUGCACGAAAGCGUGGGGAGCAAACAGGAUUAGAUACCCCCGUAGUCCCUGUCUCUUAUAC